rfam:Triticum aestivum genome assembly, contig: Triticum_aestivum_CS42_TGACv1_scaffold_307981_4AS
AUUAUACUCCCUCCGUCCCAAAAUAAGUGUCUCAACUUUAGUACAACUUUGUACCAGUACAAAGUUGAGACACUUAUUUUGGGACGGAGGGAGUACCAU